rnacentral:rRNA from 1 species
GAGUUAUCUUUCUCUGCCUGGUGACCAGCGGAGGGAUCAUUACCGAGUUUACAACUCCCAAACCCCUGUGAACAUACCUAUACGUUGCCUCGGCGGAUCAGCCCGCGCCCCGUAAAACGGGACGGCCCGCCCGAGGACCCCUAAACUCUGUUUUUAGUGGAACUUCUGAGUAAAACAAACAAAUAAAUCAAAACUUUCAACAACGGAUCUCUUGGUUCUGGCAUCGAUGAAGAACGCAGCAAAAUGCGAUAAGUAAUGUGAAUUGCAGAAUUCAGUGAAUCAUCGAAUCUUUGAACGCACAUUGCGCCCGCCAGUAUUCUGGCGGGCAUGCCUGUUCGAGCGUCAUUUCAACCCUCAAGCUCAGCUUGGUGUUGGGACUCGCGGUAACCCGCGUUCCCCAAAUCGAUUGGCGGUCACGUCGAGCUUCCAUAGCGUAGUAAUCAUACACCUCGUUACUGGUAAUCGUCGCGGCCACGCCGUUAAACCCCAACUUCUGAAUGUUGACCUCGGAUCAGGUAGGAAUACCCGCUGAACUUAAGCAUAUCAAUAAGCGGAGGA